rnacentral:lncRNA from 1 species
UUCCGACUGUUCAAUACUUUAAUCAAGUAUACACUUCGAGUUACAUAAGCGUCGCCCGAACCCACCAUCCCGGAUCAGUUGUCUUUUACAGGUUUUGUAGUGAGUCCAUAACCAAAUGGAUACAAUGGAUCAUAAUGUUUGUCCCCAAUAUUCAUUGGAAGCUGAUCGACAGUCUUAAACCAUGUAUGAGGAAGUUUGCCCGUAAAACCAUAGUCUCCAAACAAAACAUCAGCAACACCUUGUCCUUCUGUACCCGGAAGCCAAGCAGCUACAAGUGCUGUUGGGAAUUGAUUUAAACAUGCACAGCGGAAUUUAACAGAUUUCAAUUCCCAUUCAGGAUUCAGCUUUGUAUUUAGAUACCCGACUGUUCAAUACUUUAAUCAAGCAUACACUUCGAGUUACAUAAGCAUUGCCUGAACCCACCAUCCCAGAUCAGUUGUCUUUUACAGGUUUUGUAGUGAGUCCAUAACCAAAUGGAUACAAUGGAUCAUAAUGUUUGUCCCCAACAUUCAUUGGAAGCUGAUCGACAGUCUUAAACCAUGUAUGAGGAAGUUUGCCCGUAAAACCAUAGUCUCCAAACAAAACAUCAGCAACACCUUGUCCUUCUGUACCCGGAAGCCAAGCAGCUACAAG